rnacentral:rRNA from 1 species
UACGUAGGGUGCAAGCGUUGUCCGGAAUUAUUGGGCGUAAAGAGCUCGUAGGCGGUUCGUCGCGUCGGCUGUGAAAACCUGAGGCUCAACCUCAGGCCUGCAGUCGAUACGGGCGGACUUGAGUACUGCAGGGGAGACUGGAAUUCCAGGUGUAGCGGUGAAAUGCGUAGAUAUCUGGAGGAAUACCGGUGGCGAAGGCGGCAUCCUGGACCGAGAUUGACGCUGAGGCGCGAAAGCCAGGGGAGCAAACGGG